GGCCAGGACUGGGCUGGGGCAGAAGGAAACCAGCCGCCCCCGGCCCUCGCCGUUGCGCGCUCUGGACGCGCGGUGGCUGCGCUCCCCUCCGGCCCGGGUUUGCAUUAGAUCUGAAGAGAACGCAGAAUGGGAACCUUGCCAGAGAAAGCCGUGUGUUCAUUCACCUGCCUUCUGUCUUGAUAAGUUACAAUAAACUGACUGAAAAAUCCGGACGUGUCUUACAGAAUGUUCUUGAACACCGGGACUGUCCCACUGAAUCGCUAUCGGUAAUAGUCAACAAGCUGGGACCCACUGGUGCUCAAUGUCUUUGGAAAGCACUUGAAAAGAACUGCAGCCUGAAGAGUCUUAACCUUUAUGACAACGCUGUUGGAAAUGAAGGCACGAAAGGCCUGGCUCAGAGUUUAGACAAGAAUCGCACCCUGCAGGAACUAAUGUAAGAGGGUCAGAUUGAAACCUGAUUCACUAGCGUCUCAGAGCUCACUAACAGUGCUGGCAAACCAGUUCAUCUCAGCUCCCUGACUUUAGAAUCUGAUGGUCAAUUCUCCUCUUGUACUUGAUCUUCCAGUUCCAACAUGGUGCCCUCAUUAAAUCAGAACAAUUGUCCUCUGACCUCUCCAGAGACAGCGAGCUCUCCUGCGGCUGAGUACUACUUUGUCACCGGCCCAAGGCUCUGAGAUCUAUUAGCUGCUUUCUUGUCUUCCUUCAGCAGCACCAGUGUGAAUAACCAAGUUACAAAACACUCAAGCUGGGGAACAUUCGAAUGAAUAAAAAUGAAAGUAAAAUGUCUGGGCAAGCCCAGUAAUCUUAUUUGUAAAUCAUGUUAGUAGGAAUAUAAAAAAUUGCUAGACCAGGGGUCCACCUAGCUCAGAGUCCCAUCUCCGGCAGUGGCUGGUACCUGCUGCU